AUUGAACGCUGGCGGCAUGCCUUACACAUGCAAGUCGAACGGCAGCACGGACUUCGGUCUGGUGGCGAGUGGCGAACGGGUGAGUAAUGUAUCGGAACGUACCUUUCAGUGGGGGAUAACGUAGCGAAAGUUACGCUAAUACCGCAUAUUCUGUGAGCAGGAAAGCAGGGGAUCGAAAGACCUUGCGCUGAUUGAGCGGCCGAUAUCAGAUUAGCUAGUUGGUGGGGUAAAGGCCUACCAAGGCGACGAUCUGUAGCGGGUCUGAGAGGAUGAUCCGCCACACGGGAACUGAGCCACGGUCCAGACUCCUACGGGAGGCAGCAGUGGGGAAUUUUGGACAAUGGGGGCAAACAUGAUCCAGCCAUGCCGAGUGAGUGAAGAAGGCCUUCGGGUUGUAAAGCUCUUUCGGCCGGGAAGAAAUCGCAUAGGCUAAUACCCUGUGUGGAUGACGGUACCGGAAUAAGAAGCACCGGCUAACUACGUG
rnacentral:rRNA from 1 species